UCCGGCUUGUCACCGGCAGUCUCCCUAGAGUCCCCAACUAAAUGAUGGCAACUAAGGAUAAGGGUUGCGCUCGUUGCGGGACUUAACCCAACAUCUCACGACACGAGCUGACGACAGCCAUGCAGCACCUGUCACUCAGUUCCUUUCGGCACUCCCGUCUCUCGACAGAAUUCUGAGGAUGUCAAAGGAUGGUAAGGUUCUUCGCGUUGCAUCGAAUUAAACCACAUGCUCCACCGCUUGUGCGGGCCCCCGUCAAUUCAUUUGAGUUUUAACCUUGCGGCCGUACUCCCCAGGCGGAUAACUUAGCGCGUUAGCUUCGCCACUAGCCCUAAAAGGGCCAACGGCUAGUUAUCAUCGUUUAGGGCGUGGACUAC
rnacentral:misc_RNA from 1 species